rnacentral:misc_RNA from 1 species
GGAAUCUUCCGCAAUGGGCGAAAGCCUGACGGAGCAACGCCGCGUGAGUGAUGAAGGUUUUCGGAUCGUAAAGCUCUGUUGCCAGGGAAGAACGUCUUGUAGAGUAACUGCUACAAGAGUGACGGUACCUGAGAAGAAAGCCCCGGCUAACUACGUGCCAGCAGCCGCGGUAAUACGUAGGGGGCAAGCGUUGUCCGGAAUUAUUGGGCGUAAAGCGCGCGCAGGCGGCUUUUUAAGUAGGGGGUGAAAUCCUGCGGCUUAACCGCAGGGCUGCCUUCUAAACUGUCAGGCUCGAGCACAGUAGAGGCAGGUGGAAUUCCCGGUGUAGCGGUGGAAUGCGUAGAGAUCGGGAAGAACAUCAGUGGCGAAGGCGGCCUGCUGGGCUGUUGCUGACGCUGAGGCGCGACAGCGUGGGGAGCAAACAGGA